rnacentral:rRNA from 1 species
UACGUAGGCAGCAAGCGUUGUUCGGAAUUACUGGGCGUAAAGAGUGUGUAGGCGGUGUUCUAAGUCUGUUGUGAAAUCUCCCGGCUUAACUGGGAGGGUGCGGCGGAAACUGGAAUGCUAGAGGAUGGGAGAGGUAAGCGGAAUUCCUGGUGUAGCGGUGAAAUGCGUAGAUAUCACUCGGAAGGCCAAAGGCGAAGGCAGGUUACUGGUACGCAACUGACGCUGAGGCACGAAAGCGUGGGGAGCAAACAGG